rnacentral:rRNA from 1 species
UAGCUAGUUGGUGAGGUAACGGCUCACCAAGGCGCCGAUGGGUAGCCGACCUGAGAGGGUGACCGGCCACACUGGGACUGAGACACGGCCCAGACUCCUACGGGAGGCAGCAGUAGGGAAUUUUCCGCAAUGGGCGAAAGCCUGACGGAGCAACGCCGCGUGAGGGAAGAAGGUCUUCGGAUCGUAAACCUC